AAUAUUGUAGAUGGCGCCAUAAUCUUUUUAUGUAAGCGAACCUGUCAAAAGUGAUUUGUUUAUUAUUGUAAAAAUAAUCGUUGAAACGUGAUGAAACAACGUUUAAAUGGUGCUUAAUUCCAAUUUAAAACGAUAAAUCAAAAAAAUAAGCCCCAUAAAGUUAUGAAUCCUAGCUUACCCAAUAUCUCCCCGUCUGGGUUUGUAGCAUUAGAAGAAAAUGUAAAAGAACGUUGCAUAAAGACAUAAUAGAACUGUUUGCGGAUGUAAAAAGAAUUUUUACUAAGAUAAACACAGUUGAUAACCACAUAAACGCAACAAGAAAUAAUAUAGUUAAUGAAAUAACUAACUUUCUAUAUAAACAUAAAGAAGAAAAGCACAACAUUUUCAAAAAAUUCUUAUUAAAUAACAAAGAUAUAGUAGUAAUAAAAUUAGAUAAGACUAAACAAUUAAUCAUACUUUAUAAGAAACAAUAUAAUGUACAAUAAGGGCAGAUCCUGGACCUAACUUAGUAGUCAAAAUUAACGACUAUUUAAAAAAAUUUGGAAAAAAUGAAAUAUGGAUAAAAAUCUUAAAUUACAAUUAGCCCCAAUGCAUUAUACAACCCCUAAGAUUCAUUGAUUGCUCGAAAUACAUAAAGAUGAUAAACCUUUGAGACCUAUAAUAAAUAAUAUUAAUGGACCUACCAAUCAAUUAGCAAAGUUCUUGAAUAAAUCAUUAAAUUUAUUAAAUGAAUUUGAUGUUAAAAGUGUUUAGGAAUUAAAGGAGAAAAUAAAAUCAUUAAAUAUAGAAGAUUUGAAUGAUGGAUAUAGUGAGUUUUGACAUACAAUUAUUGUUUACUAAUAUACCAGCGCAUAAAAUGAUUGAAUUAUUAUAAUAAAAUUGGCGACAUAUUGAAAUAAAA